GCUCCAGUGGCCUAGUGGUUAGAGCGUCCGUCUCAGACGCGGGGGAUCAUGGGUUCGAUCCCCGUUCGAGUA